UUAAGCGACUAAGCGUACACGGUGGAUGCCCUGGCAGUCAGAGGCGAUGAAGGACGUGCUAAUCUGCGAUAAGCGUCGGUAAGGUGAUAUGAACCGUUAUAACCGGCGAUUUCCGAAUGGGGAAACCCAGUGUGUUUCGACACACUAUCAUUAACUGAAUCCAUAGGUUAAUGAGGCGAACCGGGGGAACUGAAACAUCUAAGUACCCCGAGGAAAAGAAAUCAACCGAGAUUCCCCCAGUAGCGGCGAGCGAACGGGGAGGAGCCCAGAGCCUGAAUCAGUGUGUGUGUUAGUGGAAGCGUCUGGAAAGGCGCGCGAUACAGGGUGACAGCCCCGUACACAAAAAUACACAUAUUGUGAGCUCGAUGAGUAGGGCGGGACACGUGGUAUCCUGUCUGAAUAUGGGGGGACCAUCCUCCAAGGCUAAAUACUCCUGACUGACCGAUAGUGAACCAGUACCGUGAGGGAAAGGCGAAAAGAACCCCGGCGAGGGGAGUGAAAAAGAACCUGAAACCGUGUACGUACAAGCAGUGGGAGCACGCUUAGGCGUGUGACUGCGUACCUUUUGUAUAAUGGGUCAGCGACUUAUAUUCUGUAGCAAGGUUAACCGAAUAGGGGAGCCGAAGGGAAACCGAGUCUUAACUGGGCGUUAAGUUGCAGGGUAUAGACCCGAAACCCGGUGAUCUAGCCAUGGGCAGGUUGAAGGUUGGGUAACACUAACUGGAGGACCGAACCGACUAAUGUUGAAAAAUUAGCGGAUGACUUGUGGCUGGGGGUGAAAGGCCAAUCAAACCGGGAGAUAGCUGGUUCUCCCCGAAAGCUAUUUAGGUAGCGCCUCGUGAAUUCAUCUCCGGGGGUAGAGCACUGUUUCGGCAAGGGGGUCAUCCCGACUUACCAACCCGAUGCAAACUGCGAAUACCGGAGAAUGUUAUCACGGGAGACACACGGCGGGUGCUAACGUCCGUCGUGAAGAGGGAAACAACCCAGACCGCCAGCUAAGGUCCCAAAGUCAUGGUUAAGUGGGAAACGAUGUGGGAAGGCCCAGACAGCCAGGAUGUUGGCUUAGAAGCAGCCAUCAUUUAAAGAAAGCGUAAUAGCUCACUGGUCGAGUCGGCCUGCGCGGAAGAUGUAACGGGGCUAAACCAUGCACCGAAGCUGCGGCAGCGACGCUUAUGCGUUGUUGGGUAGGGGAGCGUUCUGUAAGCCUGCGAAGGUGUGCUGUGAGGCAUGCUGGAGGUAUCAGAAGUGCGAAUGCUGACAUAAGUAACGAUAAAGCGGGUGAAAAGCCCGCUCGCCGGAAGACCAAGGGUUCCUGUCCAACGUUAAUCGGGGCAGGGUGAGUCGACCCCUAAGGCGAGGCCGAAAGGCGUAGUCGAUGGGAAACAGGUUAAUAUUCCUGUACUUGGUGUUACUGCGAAGGGGGACGGAGAAGGCUAUGUUGGCCGGGCGACGGUUGUCCCGGUUUAAGCGUGUAGGCUGGUUUUCCAGGCAAAUCCGGAAAAUCAAGGCUGAGGCGUGAUGACGAGGCACUACGGUGCUGAAGCAACAAAUGCCCUGCUUCCAGGAAAAGCCUCUAAGCAUCAGGUAACAUCAAAUCGUACCCCAAACCGACACAGGUGGUCAGGUAGAGAAUACCAAGGCGCUUGAGAGAACUCGGGUGAAGGAACUAGGCAAAAUGGUGCCGUAACUUCGGGAGAAGGCACGCUGAUAUGUAGGUGAAGUCCCUUGCGGAUGGAGCUGAAAUCAGUCGAAGAUACCAGCUGGCUGCAACUGUUUAUUAAAAACACAGCACUGUGCAAACACGAAAGUGGACGUAUACGGUGUGACGCCUGCCCGGUGCCGGAAGGUUAAUUGAUGGGUCAGCGCAAGCGAAGCUCUUGAUCGAAGCCCCGGUAAACGGCGGCCGUAACUAUAACGGUCCUAAGGUAGCGAAAUUCCUUGUCGGGUAAGUUCCGACCUGCACGAAUGGCGUAAUGAUGGCCAGGCUGUCUCCACCCGAGACUCAGUGAAAUUGAACUCGCUGUGAAGAUGCAGUGUACCCGCGGCAAGACGGAAAGACCCCGUGAACCUUUACUAUAGCUUGACACUGAACAUUGAGCCUUGAUGUGUAGGAUAGGUGGGAGGCUUUGAAGUGUGGACGCCAGUCUGCAUGGAGCCGGCCUUGAAAUACCACCCUUUAAUGUUUGAUGUUCUAACGUGGACCCGUGAUCCGGGUUGCGGACAGUGUCUGGUGGGUAGUUUGACUGGGGCGGUCUCCUCCUAAAGAGUAACGGAGGAGCACGAAGGUUGGCUAAUCCUGGUCGGACAUCAGGAGGUUAGUGCAAUGGCAUAAGCCAGCUUGACUGCGAGCGUGACGGCGCGAGCAGGUGCGAAAGCAGGUCAUAGUGAUCCGGUGGUUCUGAAUGGAAGGGCCAUCGCUCAACGGAUAAAAGGUACUCCGGGGAUAACAGGCUGAUACCGCCCAAGAGUUCAUAUCGACGGCGGUGUUUGGCACCUCGAUGUCGGCUCAUCACAUCCUGGGGCUGAAGUAGGUCCCAAGGGUAUGGCUGUUCGCCAUUUAAAGUGGUACGCGAGCUGGGUUUAGAACGUCGUGAGACAGUUCGGUCCCUAUCUGCCGUGGGCGCUGGAGAACUGAGGGGGGCUGCUCCUAGUACGAGAGGACCGGAGUGGACGCAUCACUGGUGUUCGGGUUGUCAUGCCAAUGGCACUGCCCGGUAGCUAAAUGCGGAAGAGAUAAGUGCUGAAAGCAUCUAAGCACGAAACUUGCCCCGAGAUGAGUUCUCCCUGACCCUUUAAGGGUCCUGAAGGAACGUUGAAGACGACGACGUUGAUAGGCCGGGUGUGUAAGCGCAGCGAUGCGUUGAGCUAACCGGUACUAAUGAACCGUGAGGCUUAACCUU
rnacentral:rRNA from 1 species